AAAAAAUCACUUAGGUACAUGAGAAAUUUUACAAUACGUAAACAUUAGGUAUCUUAUCCAUAAAGUACUGCGAUUUUAUACAAAAACCAACUAGUAGAAAUAAAAUGAUU